UACGUAGGGAGCAAGCGUUGUCCGGAAUCAUUGGACGUAAAGCGCGCGUAGGCGGCCCUGUAAGUCCGUUGUGAAAGUCAAAGGCUCAACCUUUGAAAGCCGAUGGAUACUGCAGGGCUAGAGUCCGGAAGAGGCGAGUGGAAUUCCUGGUGUAGCGGUGGAAUGCGCAGAUAUCAGGAGGAACACCAAUAGCGAAGGCAGCUCGCUGGGACGGUACUGACGCUAAGGCGCGAAAGCGUGGGGAGCGAACAGG
rnacentral:rRNA from 1 species